AGUGGACGCCAGGCUCUGCAUUUCUCGGGAACCAAGUGGGGUGGGCCUUCCCUGGGUCCCUCCCUCCCGGACGGGAUAAAUAAGCCGGGGCUACUUGGAAACGAUUUGCGCAAUGCCGGGUUCGGGCGUCCGUUUGGGGAACUCAGAUGCCUGCGGCAGCUGAUCUACUCUGUGCUAUGCUGAGCCAGACACCACCACGCUUUGCCUCCAGGAGCAAGUCUUAACUAGAGAGAGAUCAAAGAAAAAGACAACUAGGGACGACUGCCAAGAGUGCAAUAAAUAUAAAGUUCAGCCAGGA
rnacentral:lncRNA from 1 species